ACGAACGCUGGCGGCGUGCCUAAUACAUGCAAGUCGAGCGCAGUUUUUCUGGUGCUUGCACCGGAAAAACUUAGCGGCGAACGGGUGAGUAACACGUAAAGAACCUGCCUCAUAGACUGGGACAACUAUUGGAAACGAUAGCUAAUACCGGAUAACAGCAUUAACUGCAUGGUUGAUGUUUAAAAGUUGGUUUUGCUAACACUAUGAGAUGGCUUUGCGGUGCAUUAGCUAGUUGGUGGGGUAAAGGCCUACCAAGGCGACGAUGCAUAGCCGACCUGAGAGGGUGAUCGGCCACACUGGGACUGAGACACGGCCCAGACUCCUACGGGAGGCAGCAGUAGGGAAUCUUCCGCAAUGGGCGAAAGCCUGACGGAGCAACGCCGCGUGAGUGAAGAAGGAUUUCGGUUCGUAAAGCUCUGUUGUUAGGGAAGAAUGAUUGUGUAGUAACGAUACACAGUAGAGACGGUACCUAACCAGAAAGCCACGGCUAACUACGUG
rnacentral:rRNA from 1 species